GUAGCUCAGUUGGUUAGAGCACCAGAUUGUGGAUCUGGGGGUCGCUGGUUCGAGCCCAGCC
rnacentral:tRNA from 1 species